UAGGGAAUCUUCCACAAUGGGCGAAAGCCUGAUGGAGCAACGCCGCGUGUGUGAUGAAGGGUUUCGGCUCGUAAAACACUGUUGUAAGAGAAGAAUGACAUUAAGAGUAACUGUUCAAUGUGUGACGGUAUCUUACCAGAAAGGAACGGCUAAAUACGUGCCGG
rnacentral:rRNA from 1 species